UACGGAGGGUGCGAGCGUUAAUCGGAAUUACUGGGCGUAAAGGGUGCGUAGGUGGUUAUAUAAGUUAGCUGUGAAAUUCCUGGGCUCAACCUAGGGACUGCAGCUAAUACUGUAUGACUUGAGUAUGGGAGAGGGUAGUGGAAUUUCCGGUGUAGCGGUGAAAUGCGUAGAUAUCGGAAGGAACACCAGUGGCGAAGGCGGCUACCUGGCCUAAUACUGACACUGAGGCACGAAAGCGUGGGGAGCAAACAGG
rnacentral:rRNA from 1 species